GGGACACGUGGUAUCCUGUCUGAAUAUGGGGGGACCAUCCUCCAAGGCUAAAUACUCCUGACUGACCGAUAGUGAACCAGUACCGUGAGGGAAAGGCGAAAAGAACCCCGGCGAGGGGAGUGAAAAAGAACCUGAAACCGUGUACGUACAAGCAGUGGGAGCCUCUUUAUGGGGUGACUGCGUACCUUUUGUAUAAUGGGUCAGCGACUUAUAUUCUGUAGCAAGGUUAACCGAAUAGGGGAGCCGAAGGGAAACCGAGUCUUAACUGGGCGUUAAGUUGCAGGGUAUAGACCCGAAACCCGGUGAUCUAGCCAUGGGCAGGUUGAAGGUUGGGUAACACUAACUGGAGGACCGAACCGACUAAUGUUGAAAAAUUAGCGGAUGACUUGUGGCUGGGGGUGAAAGGCCAAUCAAACCGGGAGAUAGCUGGUUCUCCCCGAAAGCUAUUUAGGUAGCGCCUCGUGAAUUCAUCUCCGGGGGUAGAGCACUGUUUCGGCAAGGGGGUCAUCCCGACUUACCAACCCGAUGCAAACUGCGAAUACCGGAGAAUGUUAUCACGGGAGACACACGGCGGGUGCUAACGUCCGUCGUGAAGAGGGAAACAACCCAGACCGCCAGCUAAGGUCCCAAAGUCAUGGUUAAGUGGGAAACGAUGUGGGAAGGCCCAGACAGCCAGGAUGUUGGCUUAGAAGCAGCCAUCAUUUAAAGAAAGCGUAAUAGCUCACUGGUCGAGUCGGCCUGCGCGGAAGAUGUAACGGGGCUAAACCAUGCACCGAAGCUGCGGCAGCGACGCUUAUGCGUUGUUGGGUAGGGGAGCGUUCUGUAAGCCUGCGAAGGUGUACUGUGAGGUAUGCUGGAGGUAUCAGAAGUGCGAAUGCUGACAUAAGUAACGAUAAAGCGGGUGAAAAGCCCGCUCGCCGGAAG
rnacentral:rRNA from 1 species